GCCUCAGUAGCUCAAUGGUAGAGCAACCGGCUGUUAACCGGUAGGUCGUAGGUUCGAGCCCUGCCUGAGGCGCCA
rnacentral:tRNA from 1 species